rnacentral:rRNA from 1 species
CAGAGGGUGCGAGCGUUGUUCGGAAUUAUUGGGCGUAAAGCGCGUGUAGGCGGCUUAGUAAGUUGGGUGUGAAAGCCCUCGGCUUAACCGAGGAAGUGCGCCCAAAACUGCUUGGCUUGAGUACCGGAGAGGGUGGCGGAAUUCCCGGUGUAGAGGUGAAAUUCGUAGAUAUCGGGGAGGAACACCAGCGGCGAAGGCGGCCACCUGGACGGAUACUGACGCUGAGACGCGAAAGCGUGGGGAGCAAACAGGAUUAGAUACCCUGGUAGUCCACGCUGUAAACGAUGAGCGCUAGGUGUUGCGGGUGUUGACCCCUGCAGUGCCGCAGCUAACGCAUUAAGCGCUCCGCCUGGGAAGUACGGCCGCAAGGCUA